rnacentral:lncRNA from 1 species
CUGCCUCACACAUUACAUUUGAAUCAUCAGUGACAAUAACUAGAAUAAAACUUGCAAGUACUCACAUUAAGAAAUGAGUUUACCAAGCCAUAAUGAAUACAGAAACGAUCAGACAGUGACUCAACAGCACCAAAAGCCCAACAAGAACCACAGUGUCCCUGAAAUACAAAUGAUCAGAUUAUUAGAGUACCCGGAAAGAGAAAUUUGCAAGUUUAGGGAGAAAUACAAAUGAGUGAUACUAGAACCAAGAUAAGUCACCUGAUCUGCGCCAUAGUACCGGUGCAUGACAUCAAAAGAUGGAAAGCAUUAGCACCCCACUAUAGAACAAUAGCACUAAACCAAGCACGAAAAUGAAAAAACUAACCAAGAAUUCUCCCAAUAGUGCUACAGUUAGGCCAAGCCACUCGUGCAUCAAACUCUUGUGGUAACUCCAAAAGUUUCGGAUGAGUUAAAAUAGGAAUGCCCUUUAAAUCACCCUUUCUUGUGGGCUUAACUCCAAGAAGGCGCUUAAAUUGGGAAACCUGUGAAUGAAGGAUACACGUAUUCAUGAUAAGAGUGGUGAAGGAUGUGGCAUUGCACAGAAGAAAGUGCAACGAAGUUUGUUCCAACAAAAUAUACAGCUUUAUGGAAAUCUCACCGUGAAAUUUGAGAAAUGAGGGUUCAGUGCAGCUUUCCAUCCAGCUUUUUCAUUUUCAUUAACCUGUUUAACAAUUGAGUCCUGCAUGACCAUUCACAAAAAGGUCUUUCAACUUUUAGUAAGAACAGAGUACAAUGACAGUAUUAUCUUCUCUAUCAUGAAGGCACUCUUACCUGAAGGAUUGCAGAUUCCGCUUUAGCUUGGGAUAUUGGUUGUUCUGCAACAACCUGCUUGCCAUUUGAAAAAAAUGAGUUUCAGAUUUGAAGAUAAACCUACACCUAUGUUUCCUCUUUCUACCAUUCAAUAGUUCUAUUCCUUUGUCAAGCACUCAAUUAACUUAUACAGUGGGCAGAAAAAAGAGAGGAUCAGAUUGGACAUUUUUGCUCCUUUCUUAGGAUUUAGGCAGGAUAAGGGCAGUUGAUUCAAAUUGGAGAUUUCUGUUAAAGAACUCCUUUUUCCUUCUAUAGUCUUAGAACUAUGCAUAAGUUUGGUGAGUAGAUUCCCAUCUUUUUGGAGCUUCAUCCAUGUACUCAUUAAUAUUAAUUUGUGAGAUUACACCAUCCACCCCCACCCCACCCCACCCCAAAAAGAAAACCUCCACACUGUCAACCCAACAUAUUUCCACUACAUACAGGUUCCAGGCAACAUCUGCACACACAAGACUAUUCCCCUCCCCCCCCCGAAAAAAAAACCAAGUAGACCUCCUCCUCAUGUAUUGCAGGCAACAUAAACUGAAGCUUCAAGAAACAUUUAAAAGAUUUCCCUUUUAGGAGUACAUUAGUAGAUCAACUAAUUUAUCAUCAUGAUUACCGAGAUUAAGCUAACCCAAAAGCUAAAAAAAUGGAAGAAAGCAGAAGAAGUCAAGAAAAACACAAUAGAUGGGGCUUUAAUCUGCUACAAUCACUCAAUCCAUCUAUUCAUCUAAAGCUAUAUAAACCACACCAACCAGCCAAAAACACAAAAUAUGAAGAAUCAAGGAUCGAACCUGUAAAAUAAGGAUAGAGGCACCAAUCAAAAGCAAGAGAGCGGCUAAGGACAUGUGAUUCAUCGCCAUAUUUGGCUUUUCUCUGGAGUUCUCCAAUUGUGGUGUGAAGAUGCAGGAACUCCCAGAAAUAUAUAGAUACAGGAAAAGAUAGAUCAAUUAUUGGCCCAUCUCUUUUGACGUAUAAUAAAAGUUUAUAACUUUAUUUAUCAGCUACAGAGAUGAUUGUUAUUGAUCCUCUUUAGGAUAUUUUGAAUUAAAGAAUUGGAUUAAAUUGGAAACAUUCAGUUCCCAAGUUCGGCCAAACUUAGGUUAGGACCACGUGUGGUUUUGUUAUUGGACGUAAGGGAGUACAAUAAUUUUGUAAUUUUCAAGAUAGAUUAACGAUUGAGAUCUCUUAUCAAGCGGUUGGCCGAAUUAGAAAAGAGAUUCCUUCAAGUUGGAUUCCAUUUUUUAUACUGUUCCUUUGGAAUGAAACUAUCCACUUGGCAAUAUUUAUUGAAGAAUGGGCGAUACUCUAAUACAGAAAAGAUAAUGUAGUGGGUCUCGUUUAAUUUUAAAAAAAUUACUUCAAAAUUUGAAUAUUUAACUAGGCGAAAAGACAUGAAUAUCCACUUAGUUGAGAUAAAUUAUGACUUUGUCAUGUUGAUAUCUAGGACUCGGUAGCGUACGCAGAAUUUUUCGUACGCGGUGUCGCAUGUACAUAAAUAAAAAAGUAAAUUAUUAUUUAAUAUUAUUUUCCCACAAAUUGAAGAGCCUUGGCCCGAUGGUUUAGUGAAUAUUAUUGCAAAAUGAGGUGUAGGUUCUAUUCUCCUUUACCUCAAAUUUUUAACAAAAAUAUUCAAAAAAUAGAAUGUCUGGGUCCAACCUUCAACUCACCACCUUUACAUGUCCAAUACAAGCUUAAUCAAUGGACAAAGAAGUGUUCUUUGCUAAGAAGCGGUAUCAUUACUAUAUAUUGCUUCAUUUUUGUAGAAUUUAAAUAUAAAUAUUUAAUAUUUUUUUCCGAUGAAACGGUGUCGGAUGACACCGCUUACUCUCAUGUGUGUCCGUCCCUGCUAAGACUCAUUUUACUUUAGAUCCAAUAUUCGCUAAGGCACCAUUAGUUUGCACUUAGUGAAGGUAUGAAUCUUAAUCAUUUAAAUUUUUCGUUAUUGGUUAUGUUUGGUUUUUAGUCUGAUCUUAAAUAUUCAAAUGUUAAUUAUUAAGUUUGUCUGUUUUUCCUUUGACAGCCAUAUAAUGAGAUUAAAUAGAUAUAAAAAUAAUUAAAAUUUAUAGCAAAGUUUUAACAUUAUUAAAAUGUUGUCCAUUCAAGUUUUUUAUAAAGGUGGUAUUUCACCACCACUCAAUCCACUUUAUACAGUUAAGAAUCCUUUUAGAAUAGAAAAUUUAACUUAAAUACCGGGCUUACUCAAUUGUUUAAACUAAAAAUUGUCGGUCGUCAUCACAAACUACCACCGUUAAAUACUAUUGUCAAUUGUCAUCACAAUUAGCUACGAACCUCAAUCACCACCAUCAAUUACCACUACCAGUUAGUACUCACAUGCCAUAACCGCUAUUGUUAGUCAUCACUACCACCACCACUAUAUAAAUUUAUUUUUCUAAUAUUUAUUUGAUACAGUAUUAGAUUAAUUAAUAUUUUAUUAAAUUUAUUAUUCAUUAAUUUUCAAUAAAGACAAAAUUUGUACACUCCAAUAUUGAAAAAAUAAACCGCCUUAAUUAUUUAACAUUCGAAUCUUAUUGCAAUAUAUUAAUAUUUAAAAUUGUAUUCAGACUCAAUCGUUUUAAUCUCAAUAAAACAAGCAACGAUUUGUAUUCGAUAAUUUCUAGCUUUAAAUGCCUAAAUUAUAUAAAUUGAGAUGGAACUAAAUCGAGUGAUAUGAAGAAGGAUUGAUAUAAUUGACCCUAACUAGCCUCGAAUUAAGACAUAGUCAUUUUUGUUGUUUGUUGAUUAUGAAAAUAUGCAUCUUUCCAAACUCCUAAACUAGAAAAGCACAAAAAACUCGAUAAAGUGAGGAAUAUUUCCAGUUUGUAAACAUAACAUAUGUUUUUUUUCUCUUUUUUAAAAUUUUAUAAAAUUCUUAUAGAUGGAAAAUUUUCAUAUCUGAAUUCGACUUACCUUUUCAUCGUCUUACCUUUUAAAAAACAGCUAAAUCUUGUAGGGAGUAAGUAGUAAUCUAGUCAACAGAACAUAAGCGGUACAUACUCUUAACUAGCAAAUUGAAAAAAUAUUUUUUCCCAGAAGUCCUGACAAACAAGAAAAUCACCAUUUGUACAUAUGUUUUCCUCUAAAUUUGGGCCAAAGUUGUUAAAUAAAAUUGUGUAACUUGUGUGAACAACUUGGAUGGCAUGGCCACUGAUUAAGCUCGGAGGACUUAAUUAUUACUCCUAACAAAUAAAAUUAUUCUUAAGUCAUAAAACUGAAAACUGAAAUUGACAAACACAACUGAAAGGUGAGAAUUGGAAAGUGUUAAUUAUGAAUUAUACAGAUAAUUAAAUCCACGAGAUAAAUAUGCUAGUUCAUAAGUUUUUCUCGUCUCCAGUAUACUUUGCUACAGUAUUAUGCAGUGUCCUGUUGAAGUAGCAGCAUUUUACAUUGAGGCAUCAAGGAAAGCAUUAGAGACAUCAUCUAAUUCCACAUUCAGAUUUUUGGCUGAAGGCAAUCCAGCCACCACAUUAUGUUCAAUGCCACAUUCAUUUGUUCCUCUUCUGAUCUUGAAGUAACCAUCCUGUUAUCAUAGAGAUAGACAUACAUUUAGACAAGAAGCUUAUACAAAUAGAGUUUAACUUUUGUGUAUUGAUAGUUUUCAGUUUGUUUAAUCAUUCAGGCUAAGAUGACUUAUGCAACUGUCUAAAGUAAUUCUAAUUUAGUAACUUUAAGAGUGCAGUAAAUAACUUGCUUUAACUUUUAAGAUACACAGAUAGUGUAAAAAUUAUUUACGCUGUCAGUAUAGUUAGCGCAUCUACAACAAGGAGUUAGGAUGUCGAUGGUUUAAGGAAAUUUGUGCUCAUAUAUGAAAGCAUAAGGAGAAAAUAGAGUACAUACAUCACCCCAGCCUCUGUUCCAAGAAUUAGCAAUAAGCUGCAGAAGAUAAUUAAAAAAAAAGGUGAUGAUUAGAUUUUGAUAAAAUGAUAUGAUUUUAGAUAGAAAAUAAGACACCACAACUUGAACACAUCAACAUACCCAAUAGUCCUCUCCCUGCUCACUGGUUCCCCAUCCGAUAAGCUUAACAGCAUGGCCUCCCAUACUUUGCCCUGUUACAUGCUUGUAAACUCCAGACUUGUAGUGAGCAAAAUCCUGUGAUUGACAAAAAAGUUUUAAGUCAUUGGGUUAGCGGAAAGCAUUGCUAAGAAAAAGAGAAAAUAACAAUUAUAAUCAACGAGAACAAUCAAAUUCAAACAAGCAUUAGUUUAUACUAGAGAAACUGAGAAACUAACAAUUAUAACCAGAUAACUUCUCAUAUUGUGCUAAGCAUUAAAUUAUCUCAUUUACAAGUAUUAAUUUGCAAGUAAAUCUCGGACAACAUAAAAUGAGAAGGUACAUCGGUAGUUAAAGUUUCUCAAUUAUCAUAAUAGUUACUAUCAGGUCACUUAAAAGAUCAUUACAUGUAUCACAUUAUGGGAUUGGCAGGUAAUUGUUUCUAUGUACACAUACCACAGGACCAGCAUAUAAGUUUACCAGCUCAGACAAUGUCAUGUGUGAAAACUAUAUCAAAUAAUUUUAGUAUCAGAACUUAACCCUCCCCCUUAUCCUCAUUACCUCGUAGACGGUAAAAGAGACCUCGACUGGUCCAUUUUUGUAAAUUUCUGUCAUGAUACUGUUGGGAUCAUGGUGGAUCCUGUAUGCAUUGACACCAUAAUGCUUUGAUUUCCCCCAUAGUAGAAUCUCCUUCACACACUUCCUCUGACACUUUGGGGUGGGAUAUCCUGGUUCACAACCAGGGUGGGAACAUCCCUCAUUAUCAAAGUAAGGGUCACACUGCCAGAAAAAACAACUUUAUUAGUGAUUGAUCAUAAAGAUCCACGGUAGCUAAUGGUUUUAGAGGAAGCUGUAAUCUCUUUUGGUGAAAAUAAGUCACCAUUUACCUCUUCUGUGACCACACCCCUACGGAUAAAGUAUCGCCAUGCUGUUAUUGGAUAUCCACCAUCACAACCACUCCCACAUAAAAAGCCACAGCAUGCUAACAGAUCAUUUACAGACAGAGAGAUAUUCUGCAUUACACAUUAGAAGUUUAACAUCAGUGACCAUAACUACAGAAAUAGAUUCACAUACGUUUUGUGCUAGGUGAGAUGGUUUCCACAUGCUUAGACCAUGAAAAAGAAUCAUGAGGCUGGCACGUGAGAGCACUUGCUGAAGAUAUAUAAUUAAGUACAUAAAAAUGUGUCAUCUAAAGCUUUUAAAUGAGGCGGUCACACAGUUCAACAAAAUUUACCAAGUUAUGAUGGAUACAGAAACGAUCAGACAGCGAUUCAACAGCACCAAAAGCCCAACAAGAACCGCAAUGUCCCUGAUCUGUGACGCAAAUUUGUCCCGGUGAUUGAUGUGCAAAGACGGAAAGCAUUAGGAUCACUAUCAUAGAAUUAUAAUUCAAUAGUAGUAAGCAAGAACAAGAAGAGACUGACCCAGAAUUCUUCCGAUAGUACUACAUUGAGGCCAAGCUUUUCGUGCAUCAAACUCUUUUGGUAGCUCCAAAAGUUUUGGAUGAGUUAGAAUAGGAAUUCCCUCCAAAUCACCUUCUCUUGCGGGCUUAACUCCAAGAAGGCGCUUAAAUUGCGAAAC